UACGAGGGGAGCAAGCGUUGUUCGGAAUCAUUGGGCGUAAAGGGCGCGUAGGCGGCAGUACAAGUCUGGGGUGAAAGCCCUCGGCUUAACCGAGGAAUUGCCUUGGAAACUGUACAGCUUGAGUAUUGGAGAGGAAAGCGGAAUUCCCAGUGUAGCGGUGAAAUGCGUAGAUAUUGGGAGGAACACCGGUGGCGAAGGCGAGUCCCUGGACGACUCCUGACACUGAGGCACGAAAGCUAGGGGAGCAAACAGG
rnacentral:rRNA from 1 species